rnacentral:rRNA from 1 species
UCCAGACUCCUACGGGAGGCAGCAGUGGGGAAUAUUGCACAAUGGGGGGAACCCUGAUGCAGCGACGCCGCGUGAGUGAAGAAGUAUCUCGGUACGUAAAGCUCUAUCAGCAGGGAAGAAAAUGACGGUACCUGACUAAGAAGCCCCGGCUAACUACGUGCCAGCAGCCGCGGUAAUACGUAGGGGGCAAGCGUUAUCCGGAUUUACUGGGUGUAAAGGGAGCGUAGACGGAGAAGCAAGUCUGAAGUGAAAGCCCGUGGCUUAACCACGGGACUGCUUUGGAAACUGUUUGACUAGAGUGCUGGAGAGGUAAGUGGAAUUCCUAGUGUAGCGGUGAAAUGCGUAGAUAUUAGGAGGAACACCAGUGGCGAAGGCGACUUUCUGGACUGUACCUGACGCUGAGGCGCGAAAGCGUGGGUAGCGAACGGGAUUAGAUACCCUGGUAC